rnacentral:rRNA from 1 species
CCUACGGUGUGCAGCAGUGAGGAAUAUUGGUCAAUGGGCGGGAGCCUGAACCAGCCAAGUCGCGUGAGGGAUGACGGCCCUAUGGGUUGUAAACCUCUUUUGCCGGGGAGCAAAGUGCCGCACGUGUGCGGUUUGGAGAGUACCCGGAGAAAAAGCAUCGGCUAACUCCGUGCCAGCAGCCGCGGUAAUACGGAGGGUGCAAGCGUUGUCCGGAAUCAUUGGGCGUAAAGAGUUCGUAGGCGGUAUGUUAAGUCUGGUGUUAAAUGCAGAAGCUCAACUUCUGUUCGGCACUGGAUACUGGCAAACUAGAAUGCGGUAGAGGUAAAGGGAAUUCCUGGUGUAGCGGUGAAAUGCUUAGAUAUCAGGAGGAACAUCGGUGGCGUAAGCGCUUUACUGGGCCGUAAUUGACGCUGAGGAACGAAAGCCAGGGUAGCAAAUGGGAUUAGAUACCCCAGUAGUC